rnacentral:rRNA from 1 species
UACGUAGGGUGCAAGCGUUAAUCGGAAUUACUGGGCGUAAAGCGUGCGCAGGCGGUUAUGUAAGACAGAUGUGAAAUCCCCGGGCUCAACCUGGGAAUUGCGUUGGAGACUGCAAGGCUGGAGUCUGGCAGAGGGGGGUAGAAUUCCACGUGUAGCAGUGAAAUGCGUAGAGAUGUGGAGGAACACCGAUGGCGAAGGCAGCCCCCUGGGUCAAGACUGACGCUCAUGCACGAAAGCGUGGGGAGCAAACAGG